AAUGCUAUUACAAAUGCUGCACAUUUUGACAAAGUAUGUCAAUUUACUGUUAACAUAACCCUUGAUAAUGUAUGAUACUCUCACUUUAACCUGAGAAAAUAUCUUCCGAUGCAAUUGCCAAGCCAUCGUUUUCAACAUAUUGUAUUUCUUUUGUAACUUUGGCUUGGGUGCACAGGGCAAGCUACAAUACAAACAGCACAGAGCUGUGUGAUAUUAUUUAAAUCGUAUCGAUAGGUGUCCAUAUAGUUAGAAUACAAUCAAUAUGUUUGCAUAUAACAUUUAUUCCAUAAGCGGAAGUCUUUAAAAUGUUCUUUACAGGUCACAACUCUUUCUUUGUUGUGUGUGUGCGUGUAUGUCUGAGAGAGAAUGUGCGCGGGCGUGCGUGUGUGUGUGUGUGUGUCCGUUUAUGGGGGGUGGGGGAUGCCACCAGACGAGAUGUAUUAAAUCACCGGGCCACAGCGAACAUAAAGUGAUGGGAGGAAGCCAAAGUGUGAGGGAUCGCUCCCCACUUUGUCCGCGGCUAAAUCUUCACUCCAUCAGGCUGUCAGGCGGGCGCCUCCUCGCACGGGUGAAAUAGCCGAGCGGUGCAGCUCCUCCUCGGUGCAGUCCGCGGUUGAACGGAUUUCUUUUGCUAUUUCGGAAUAAAUUGACCCGCCAUUCCGAGGUAGAGAGGGACAGACAGACAGGCAGACAGACAGAGAGGCAGUCACAGGCAGAGAGGUCGGUAUUUGUGCAACCACAUCCCCAUCCCGUUUUUCUUACGGCUGGUGCUGCUGACCGGGAGAGGAGCCGGUGAUGGAAAGUGGAUCAGCUGACCCCGGGGCCCGAGCUGAAGGUGACCCCCGUCGGCUGGGCCAGGGGCUGCAACACAGGGCAUGGGUCCUGCUUCUCCUCUCCGCUCGUGUCUUGUGUUGCAGCCAGUGGAGCAGCCUGACUGCCUCCCUGCAGGUCGCUCUGCCCGACGCACGGCGCUCAACAGAUGAAGCCCAAUAACCACGGACUCUGCAGCUAGUUCAUGCCUUGCCGUUGUCGUUCUCAUCGGGUGUCAUUUUUUUAAGGUCGAAAUGUUGUCCUUUCUCACAGGUUAAAGUCAAUAAAGCCAAUAAAAGAAAAGAAAACACCUUA